UACGUAGGGUGCGAGCGUUGCCCGGAUUUACUGGGCGUAAAGAGCGCGCAGGCGGUCGAUUAAGUCGAAUGUGAAAGCCCCCGGCUCAACUGGGGAGGGUCAUUCGAUACUGAUCGACUUGAAGGCAGGAGAGGGAAGUGGAAUUCCCGGUGUAGUGGUGAAAUGCGUAGAUAUCGGGAGGAACACCAGUGGCGAAGGCGACUACCUGGCCUGUUCUUGACGCUGAGGCGCGAAAGCUAGGGGAGCAAACGGGG
rnacentral:rRNA from 1 species